AUUGAACGCUGGCGGCAGGCCUAACACAUGCAAGUCGAGCGAGCGGCGGACGGGUGAGUAAUGUAUGGGGACUGCCUGAUAGAGGGGGAUAACUACUGGAAACGGUAGCUAAUACCGCAUACUAUCGGAUAACCCAUAUGGGAUUAGCUGGUUGGUGAGGUAAUGGCUCACCAAGGCGACGAUCCCUAGCUGGUCUGAGAGGAUGAUCAGACACACUGGGACUGUGAAACGGCCCAGACUCCUACGGAGGCAGCAGUGGGGAAUAUUGCACAAUGGGCGAUAGCCUGAAGCAGCAAUGCCGCGUGUAUGAAGAAGGCCGUAGGGUUGUAAAGUACUGUCAGUCGGGAGGCGUUACCGACAGAAGAAGCACCGGCUAACUCCGUGCCAGCAGCCGCGGUAAUAC
rnacentral:rRNA from 1 species